rnacentral:rRNA from 1 species
UACGGAGGGUGCAAGCGUUAUCCGGAUUCACUGGGUUUAAAGGGUGCGUAGGUGGGCAGGUAAGUCAGUGGUGAAAUCUCCGGGCUUAACUCGGAAACUGCCGUUGAUACUAUCUGUCUUGAAUAUCGUGGAGGUGAGCGGAAUAUGUCAUGUAGCGGUGAAAUGCUUAGAUAUGACAUAGAACACCAAUUGCGAAGGCAGCUCACUACACGGUCAUUGACUCUGAGGCACGAAAGCGUGGGGAUCAAACAGG